GCGAGAAUUCGUGGCGCUCCCGGCCAGGCCUUGACCGGAGGCCGGAGCUCCCACCAGGGCCCAGGGCCCGUCGGCCCGCACCAGGGUGUGGUGGGCGCUGGAGCAGCGCGCCGACAGCGCUGACCUCGUCCCAAGCACCAGGAGCUUCCUCACUCUUCUCCCCUACAUGGUCACCGGAGCUUCCCCACGCGAAAGACCUCAUGCACGCGCUCAGGAAGACCGGAACGGCGAAUGCUGAGAAGGUAACGGGAGCCGACCUGACUUGGAAGAGGAAGCAUCGACUCCACGAGCCUCCCCGACUCCUUCGGAUUAGCCUUUGUGGUUGCACCCGCCGCGGCCACCUGCAACGAAUUUAGCUCGGCUUAGGCCCCGCAGCUCAGGUUCCGCGGCCACGUCACGUGACGCGAGGGCGGGGACGCGCUCGGGAGCGAGCGUGGGAGCCUGGAAGCCUCGGUGGGUCCCGAGGCUGCAGCGAGGCCGGGACCGUGCCCUCUGCUGGCGGGACCUGGCGUUUUCCGGCACCCCGCCCCAAAUCCCGGACUCGGUGUUAAGGGAGGUGCAUUGUCCUGAAAUGCUUACAACAGCUGUCUUCAAUAACUCGUGCAUAGAAUGCGCCCAGUAAAUAUGUGUUGACUGCACAA
ensembl:lncRNA novel transcript, antisense to CUL5